CACUAGUGAUGAAACCGAAAGCAAAAUUUCAGACACGUCACGUAUGUACGCGUGGAGCUCGAAACGAAAGAAAGGAAGCAAUAAGGAAGAAUGGAAAUAAUCAAGAAAGAUAAAGUGAAGCUUAUCAGGUGGUUACGCUCAGACAACCUCAUUUUGCAGCACGUCCAAUCCGAGAACUUAAUCACCACGGACGAAUACACAAAACUUAAAAUGAUCUCAGAUCCAGGAACACAAAUAACAGAGCUCUUGGAUCUAAUGUUGCAAAAGGAAAAUAAAGUUUGCUUCAAGUUUUUAGAGCUGCUGAAAGAUGAUGAUGUGAAUGAAAGCAGCCCAGCGCUCAGGGAGUGGAUCAAAUCAGUAAAUACCACCUUAGAAACACAACUACAUGCUCCUCAGGAUCCUCAGCCUCCUCAGGGCAAUCGGCCAAGUGACUCAGUGAAUAUUGAUGCACAUUCCAGCAAUGUUACGGCCUGUUUAAUAAUCAAGUCUAAUGUUUCUGAUGUCACUAUGAACAUCAAUCAUGGAAACUGACUAAUGAGAACCUACAUAUUACAUAACAGUAUUGCCAUGAACAAUAAUCCAAGACUUACAGAUAAUGAAAUGUUUUUGAAGAGGAACCGAGGAAAACUUAUUGAUAAAGUAAAAGCGGUCGAUAGAAUUGUUGAUGACCUCAACUUUACUGGUGAAAAGGCAGAAAGAGUACAAGCUGAGCAAACAGAUCAGGCCAAGAUGAGGAAACUUCUGGACUACACAACCACCAAAAAAGCUGCUCAGCUUCUGGUUAAUGCCUUGUAUAAACAUGAAGCUGAUGUCAUGGAGGAGCUGACCAUGGCCUAAAAUCCCGGCUCAGCAUUUUAAACCUACUUAUUGAUGAUGCAGGGAAUAAAUUACACACCAAGUAUGUCAACGUUUUUUAAGAUUUUAUAAGGUGUAUACAUGUGUUUUAUAUCACGCAUGACCAUCAUUCCAUGUAUUUUUUAUUAUUUUUUUUUUACAGUUUUAUGUUGUUAUUUACUUGGGAUAAAUAUGUAAAAAUCUAUUAACUUGGUGUUAUUAUGCAAAAAGGCCAAUCAAAAUUUUAAGAUGGAAAAUUAAUAAAUACACAAAUUUAUUAGCAAUAUUGAGCGAAGUAUUGUGUAUGUUUUUCGUGUGUGUGUGUUUUAUGUAAAGGUCCUAAUUGUUUGUUUAAACCAAUUUGACUGCAAUUUAUUGCAACAAUAUUCUGUUUUGCUAGCAUCCCUGUCCUCUCUGUCAGGAGGCAGUGUGUGUUAAUAGAACUGUGCGGCAGAGUGAUCUUUACCUGGUAAUCCUGCUAGAAAAGCACAGAGUAUUCGAUCUAUAAGGCAAAAAUAAAACAAAUUACCCUGCACUUUACCUUUUGAAAAAAAGUAAAAAAUAAGGGUUAAAUAAGGGAGAAAAUUCAUCUUUAACCUUUCUAAUGAGAUUUUUUUUUUGCUUUACACACACGCAUACAAACACAAAAUAAAAUAUGUUUUACACACUCACAUGUGGUCACAGUGUUAUAACAAACAGUAUACGCAUGCACGGAUGUUGAAUAUACCAGUGAGAGACACGCACUAAAACCCAGCCGGGGAGGCGAUUAAUCACAAUUCUGCAGCGCAAGAGAGAGAAAAACCAUUGGCUCCGUUGUGGUCACAUGACACUCAAAGUGAUACAACAAGAAGUGC